rnacentral:rRNA from 1 species
UGCCUACGGGGCGCAGCAGUGGGGGAUAUUGGACAAUGGGGGAAACCCUGAUCCAGCGAUGCCGCGUGAGGGAAGAAGGUUUUCGGAUUGUAAACCUCUGUGGAGGGGGACGAUAAUGACGGUACCCCUUUAGGAAGCCACGGCUAACUACGUGCCAGCAGCCGCGGUAAUACGUAGGUGGCGAGCGUUGUCCGGAUUUAUUGGGUGUAAAGGGUGCGUAGACGGGAAAUUAAGUUAGUUGUGAAAUCCCUCGGCUUAACUGAGGAACUGCAACUAAAACUGAUUUUCUUGAGUACUGGAGAGGA